CCGGAAUAUAAGCCGAGGCACCUAAUUUUACCUAAAAAAAAUGGGAAAACUUAUUGACUCGAGUAUAAGCCUAGGGUCGGAAAUGCAGCAGCUACUUGUAUCAAAAUGCAAUGCAAAGCUUCAGAUUAUCCCAUGACUAAUGGGAGUUACAGUCACACUACAGACUUUUGCAUUACAGACAGAAUUUGCUGAUUUUUUUCUCACCCCACCUCAACAGUGGUCCUUUCCCCAUUCUCCCCCAGCUCCUCAAUGGUCCUUUCCCCCUCAUUGGUCCUAUCUAUGUAGCGAGGCCGGACGGCACGGACCACAGUACAGGAACUUCUGUUUCCUGUACCCGGCUGCCGGCGGACUGAAGGGAAGC